CCUACGGGAGGUAGCAGUGAGGAAUAUUGGUCAAUGGGCGGAAGCCUGAACCAGCCAAGUAGCGUGCGGGAUGAAGGCCCUACGAGUCGUAAACCGCUUUUGCACGGGGAUAACACCCUCCACUUGUGGAGGUCUGCAGGUACCGUGCGUAUAAGGGCCGGCUAAUUCCGUGCCAGCAGCCGAGGUAAUACGGAAGGCCCGAGUGUUAUCCGGAUUCAUUGGGCUUAACGGGAGCGUAGGCGGGCGUUCAAGUCAGCUGUAAAAUCGCGCGGCUCAACCGCGCCCCGCAGUUGAAACUGGACGCAUUGAGUGCACAACAGGCAGGCGGAAUUCGUGGUGUAGCGGUGAAAUGCAUAGAUAUCACGAGGAACCCCAAUUGCGAAGGCAGCCUGCCGGGGUGCGACUGACGCUGAGGCUCGAAGGUGCGGGUAGCAAACAGGAUUAGAUACCCGAGUAGUC
rnacentral:rRNA from 1 species